GUGCCAGCCGCCGCGGUAAUACGGAGGGUGCAAGCGUUGUCCGGAAUCACUGGGUGUAAGGGGUGUGCAGGCGGGGCAGCAAGUCGGAUGUGAAACCCCGUGGCUCAACCACGGAAGUGCCUUCGAAACUGUUGCUCUUGAGUCCCGGAGAGGUUGCCGGAAUUCGUGGUGUAGCGGUGAAGUGCGUAGAUAUCACGAGGAACACCAGAGGCGAAAGCGGGCAACUGGACGGGUACUGACGCUCAGGCACGGAAGCGCGGGGAGCAAACAGGAUUAGAAACCCCGGUAGUCC
rnacentral:rRNA from 1 species